AAAAAAAAAAAAAAAAAAAGGCUUCUUAGCAUACCCAGAUCAUAAACCAACAUCAGAUGAUACAAUUGACAAGUAAACUUGACCAUGCCAACCAAAAGAAGCACCAGAGAAUCUAACCCAAAGGCAAGGGGAAAAAAAAAAAGAACACAAAAAACAUACUUUAACAGCUUUAUCAUCUGUACAUUAUGAUCGUUACAGAUCGUGAUAUAACAAUUAAGAAACGAAGAUUACACAUGAUAUAGGGCCAUGAUGGCUCAAAGCUCAUUUGCAUCUGUCAAUAAUUGAAGAGAGUCCCAAGGUUUUAUAAGCAUAAAUAUUAAAAUUGGGAUCAAAUUGAAGAGAAGAGAGUGAAUUUCUAAUCAAAGAUUGCUCUGUUCUCUCAAAGUGAAAGACAGCAUAAAAAUAUUGCAAAUUGGGUCUAACUUGAAGGCAAUUACAAGAGAAAAAAGAGAAAAGUAAGAGACUUUCUUUUGGUCG
rnacentral:misc_RNA from 1 species